GCAUACCAAAGGUGGCAUAAUGGGUCAGUGUGUCUGGCUGCUAACCAGAAGGUUGGUGGAUCAAGCCCACUGGAUGGCUGUGGGCA